AUUGAACGCUGGCGGCAUGCUUUACACAUGCAUGUCGAACGGUAACAGGCCGCAAGGUGCUGACGAGUGGCGAACGGGUGAGUAAUGCAUCGGAACGUGCCCAGUCGUGGGGGAUAACGCAGCGAAAGCUGCGCUAAUACCGCAUACGAUCUAUGGAUGAAAGCGGGGGACCGUAAGGCCUCGCGCGAUUGGAGCGGACGAUGUCAGAUUAGGUAGUUGGGGGGGUAAAGGCUCACCAAGCCAACGAUCUGUAGCUGGUCUGAGAGGACGACCAGCCACACUGGGACUGAGACACGGCCCAGACUCCUACGGGAGGCAGCAGUGGGGAAUUUUGGACAAUGGGCGCAAGCCUGAUCCAGCAAUGCCGCGUGCAGGAAGAAGGCCUUCGGGUUGUAAACUGCUUUUGUACGGAACGAAACGGUCCGGGUUAAUACCCUGGGCUAAUGACGGUACCGUAAGAAUAAGCACCGGCUAACUACGUGCCAGCCGCCGCCGUAACAC
rnacentral:rRNA from 1 species